rnacentral:rRNA from 1 species
GACGAACGCUGGCGGCGUGCCUAACACAUGCAAGUCGAGCGGGUCCAUCCAGUGGCAACACUGGGGAAGACCUAGCGGCGAACGGGUGAGUAACACGUGAGGAACUUGCCCCGGAGUACGGGAUAACUCGAGGAAACUCGAGCUAAUACCGUAUGCCCUCUUCUGGUCGCAUGGCCGGAUGAGGAAAGAUUCAUCGCUCCGGGAGAGCCUCGCGGCCUAUCAGCUAGUUGGUGGGGUAACGGCCCACCAAGGCAUCGACGGGUAGCUGGUCUGAGAGGACGAUCAGCCACACUGGGACUGAGACACGGCCCAGACUCCUACGGGAGGCAGCAGUGGGGAAUCUUGCGCAAUGGGCGAAAGCCUGACGCAGCAACGCCGCGUGCGGGAUGAAGGCCUUGGGUUGUAAACCGCUUUCAGCAGGGAAGAAACUGACGGUACCUGCAGAAGAAGCCCCGGGCCAACCUAACCGUGCCCAGCAGCCGCGGUAAU